rnacentral:misc_RNA from 1 species
AUCGCCAGAUCGUUGAGCUGCAUUGGCGGGAUUUCGCCGUCUACGUUUCUCUUUCUUCGCGGACGAACACGCGCUGGGCCUGCGUCUGCAGGAUCCCUGGUCCUUGACGGGAUAUGCGUUAGGGGCUUGUAGCUCAGUUGGUUAGAGCGCGCGCUUGAUAAGCGUGAGGUCGGAAGUUCAAGUCUUCCCAGGCCCACCAGCCUUCGCGCUUCGCUGCUUCGGCUAGGCAAGCCCUUCGACAAGAAGGCUGCCGCGCCGUAGUCUUGGCGAAGGCGGGCUAAUCAAACGAGCAUUCGUCUUCUGGUUACGGGGCCAUAGCUCAGCUGGGAGAGCGCGUGCUUUGCAAGCAUGAGGUCGUCGGUUCGAUCCCGUCUGGCUCCACCAGAUGGUUUGAUCAUCGUGAUCGUGCACCAUCGUCCGCGAAACAUCACUUCGCAUCCUGCUAGUCUGGAUAGACAGCAGAUUGCGUGAUUUCUGACAUCGUAAAGAGGAGAUCGAUCCGAGUUGGAUCGUGCGGCAAAUUGCCACGCGAGACUUCAUUAUCUCCGGAUCAUUUUCGGCGCUCGCGUCCAAGUGCAAACUUGGCAGCGAGUUGUAAAAUGAUCCUUUUAGCGAAGCUUGACCGCCUCGCUAUCGGAACGAUCUUACGAAGCAAGCUGGUCUUUCUAGUCAAUGUCCGGCUGUACGUAGCGUUCAUCGAGGGCGCGUGCCGCAAGGCAAUCGUACGGACAACAUUCUGCCGAGUGUGUGGACAUUGAUAAUGAGAGCAAUCAAGUGCCUUAAGGGUGUUCGGUGGAUGCCUUGGCGCUGAGAGGCGAUGAAGGACGUGCUACGCUGCGAUAAGCCGUGGGGAGCUGCGAAGAAGCUUUGAUCCGCG